rnacentral:sRNA from 1 species
AUAUCUCUCUGUACGGGAAGGAUGAGAAGCUUCGACUAAGGUUCGAUUCGAGCGAAAGCGAGAAAGCGUUGCCAACGGCAACGACCCGAAGGGCGAAGCGCGCAGCGAUGAGUAAUCCUUCCCCCACCACCA